rnacentral:tRNA from 1 species
AGGUAGUAUGGCCGAUUAGGCGGUAAUCUGUAAAAUUACACAUAGGACGAGUCCUUGCUGCCA